rnacentral:rRNA from 1 species
ACGGGUGAGUAACACGUGGACAACCUGCCUCAAGGCUGGGGAUAACAUUUGGAAACAGAUGCUAAUACCGAAUGAAACUUAGUGUCGCAUGAUACGAAGUUAAAAGGCGCUUUGGCGUCACCUAGAGAUGGAUCCGCGGUGCAUUAGUUAGUUGGUGGGGUAAAGGCCUACCAAGACAAUGAUGCAUAGCCGAGUUGAGAGACUGAUCGGCCACAUUGGGACUGAGACACGGCCCAAACUCCUACGGGAGGCUGCAGUAGGGAAUCUUCCACAAUGGGCGAAAGCCUGAUGGAGCAACGCCGCGUGUGUGAUGAAGGCUUUCGGGUCGUAAAGCACUGUUGUAUGGGAAGAACAGCUAGAAUAGGGAAUGAUUUUAGUUUGACGGUACCAUACCAGAAAGGGACGGCUAAAUACGUGCCAGCAGCCGCGGUAAUACGUAUGUCCCGAGCGUUAUCCGGAUUUAUUGGGCGUAAAGCGAGCGCAGACGGUUGAUUAAGUCUGAUGUGAAAGCCCGGAGCUCAACUCCGGAAUGG